UAAUGAAACCUUUGUCCAAUAACUCCUGAAGUUGCAUCAUCAGCUCCUUCAUCUCCGUCGGUGCUAAUCGAUAAGGUGCUUUUGCUAUUGGCGUGGUUCCUGGUAACAAGUCUAUUCUGAACUCCACUUGUCUAUCAGGUGGUAAUCCAGGAAGAUCCUCGGGAAAUACUUCCGGAUAAUCACACACCACUGGAAUGCUCUGCAUCACCUUCUUUUCUUUCUUAGCAUCAAUCACGAAUGCUAAAUAUGAUGUACAUCCCUUGGUCAAACACUUUCUGGCUUUCAUUAGAGAAAUGAUUCCAGAAUUCACUCUGCGUUUGUCCCCAUACACCAUAAACGAAUCUUUCCCAGGCGGGUUUACUUUAACUAUCUUCUUCUUGCACAAAAUUUCGGCAUCAUUGGCGCUAAGCCAAUCCAUUCCCAAGACGAUGUCGAAACCAUUUAGUUCGAUAGGCAAUAAUUCCUCGAGAAACUUAUUCCCAUUAAGGUCGAUCAAGACGUUUUUCAUACGAUGGCUAACAGGUACAAACUUGCCACUAGCUACUUCGACUAAUAAAGCAUUAUCUAGUCUAUCAACAGGCAAAGCUAGCUUUCUACCAAACUCAUGCGAAAUAAAGGAGUAGUUGGCUCCAGAAUCAAACAAUAUAUGAGCAGGUAAUUCGUUUACGAGAAAGGUACCUGAAGCGACAUCAGCUUCAUCUUUCGCAGCCUCAAGUGUCAUCUGGAAGGCUCUCGCCUUCGGCUUUGGUGGAAUGUUGGGCCUAGCUGCCUCCUUCUUCUUCGGACAGUCUUUCAAAAUAUGCCCCUCUUCAUUACACCCAAAACACAUCCUUUUGUUGUUCGGACAUUCAUUGGCAAAAUGUCCAACCUUUCCACACUUGUAGCAGGUCACAUCCUCGCUACAUUUCCCAAAGUGCUUUUUCUUACACUUAUCACACCACUUUGCUUCGCCUCCUUUUCCUCCAAACUUUUUCGAAUCAGAUUUCGAAAAUUUGCUCUUCUUACUGGAACCAGAUGUUCCUUCAAACUUCCUUUUCUCACCAACCUCAACCUUGACGGUGGUUCUCCCCUUGAUCAUGUUCUCCACAGACUUGGCAGCCCAGAUAGCUGCCUCUAGAGUAAGUGCCUGACGUACCGGCACCUCGUACUCCCAUGGAAGUCCCUUCGCAUACCGAUCCACCUUUGUCAGCUCGUCUGGAACGAUACGCAAGGCAAACUCCAUCUUAUCGGUGAAGUUAUUGGUGUACUCAUCCACUGACAUGCUACCCUUCGUCAAUGUCAAAAACUUGUUCUCCAACUCCAACAGAUUUUGAGCCGAGCAGAACUUGCGCUUGAACUGCACCAAGAACUCUGCCCAUGACAAUUGCAGUGGCUCAUUAGGGCUUAAGGUCUUCCCUAGAGUGUUCCACCAACGAACGGCUCCACCUCGGAAUUGUCGCACGGCAUAGAUAGUCUGCAACUUGCCUCUACAGCCACAUGUCAUAAAGGCUAACUCCAUUUCGGAGAUCCAAUCCAUAACCCCAAUCGGAUCCUCCUUUCCAUUGAAGGUCGAUGGUUUACAAGUCAAAAAGUCCUUGUACUUGCAUCCCAUUCCAUCAUUCCUUCCAUCAUGGUUAUCUUGCCUAACUAUCGGUGGGUUGGCUGGACCAACAGACCCACUGAAGUUUCCACCUUCCGAGUGCCCUUCAUUCAGUUCAGGCUCUUCCACACGAAUCGACAGUUCUUCACGAUUUUGUUGAAGCAACCGUCUAGUUUCAUCCAUCUGACGAUCCAACAUCGUCUGAAUCAUCAAUUGCACACCAGCCAUGGUUAUUGGCUCAGGUGCUGCUGCUACGACAGGUAUUGGCUCAAUCACUGGUGGUUGAUUCCUGUUUUCGUCAGCAUUUCCAACUCCACUUCUUGUUCUCACCAUUUUGAUCUACACCGAAUAAGGUGAAAUUAGAUCCUCAAUCAUGAUAGAUAUUCAAAUCAUCCUUAUCACUCCGAAACGUUUACAUGCUAGUUCUAAUAUCGUAGACGUACGCUUAGAAUCCUACACACAUAAGGUUUCUAGAUCCGGUCGGCAACAGACCAUAGAUCCGAACAAAUAAUAUCAUAUAUGGCAACAUAUAACAUUUAGCACAUAAAGCAUUUUAGGCAACUUUCCUAAAAUAAACUAGUGCUCGUGUCUAAAUCACAACAGACACACAUCUCAAAACUUCACUUAGCAUUCUAAGUUUAAGUCUAGAAAUCCUACAAAUUCCUAGUUCGCUUAAACUAAUGCUCUGAUACCAACUGUGACAUCCCCAAAAUCUCGGCCAGAAAAGACCGAUUUUCAUUUAUGCUUUUAAAUAUUUUCAGAGUAAAUCCUUUUGAUUUGAAAGAGUUGCGGAAUUUGUUCCCAAAAACAAAACAUGAUAAAACAUUGUUUACCGAAGCAUUUCAUAAAAGAAAUGUAUUUUCAUUAUAAUCAAAACUCGGGGUGUCAUGUUCCGAUACAGACCAAUAAGCAUAAACGAAUACAUUACAAGUCAUAUAACAAAUAUAAACAUAUGCAGACUUGUAAACAAAACAACUUGAUGGUUCAUCCAUCUCAUGCCCUUCCGCCACUACCUGUAAUACAAUUUAAAACUGAGUGGGUCAGGCUUGGGAGCCUGGUGAGCAUAUAGGGUUUUCAACCCACAAUAAAUAUCAUAUUUAAUUUUCACCAACCAACAAUAACCCAAUUACCCAUUCCCGUUAUUCUCACUUUAAUGUCCCUAAAACAACUAACAUAAGGGACCUAGUCUAAGAAUAUUUCAUCGGGGCGACAACACAUGCUUCGGGGGUACCUCAGCAAUAUAAGUCAAAUAAGGCAACCAUGAGGGGGAUGGAGUACAGCGAAUGAACACCCAAGUUCAUUAACACCUACAGGUGGCGAACCUGCUAAUGUUUCCACAAGACUGUCUAGAAUAGCCAGUGGUCGUCAUCUAAACUCCGCUAGAUGACUCAAUCAAACAACAACGAGGCCUCUCAUCUGUUUAUUACACACCAACUGUCUACCCAUGUUCUACCCAACAUAUUAGUAGAUAAAAAUAUACAUUUGUAUACAUAGUUUAAAGAAAACCUGUAUAGCAUGCUUUAAUCAACACAUAUAUCACAUAACAGAUGAGGCACACACACACAUAACACAUAUCUCAUAAAGAAAUAAGCAGAUCUAUAAGAUAGAAGAGAGUGAAUACUCAUUCACACAUAACACAACCAAAUAUAUACACAUAGCACGUAUUUUUAUAUAAAAUACUUCGUAUUAUUGUAUUAGAAGAAAUAACUACACACUCACUUGAUCAGAAGAUGAUCGGACAGCACUACGGCUUAUAGAAGUAGUAAUCCACAGCAGAUCUGGAAGAUCUUCUCGAAAAUCGAACUUCUCGCGGGCAGAGCUUCGACUCGGGAACCGCACUUUUCGGGAUCUUCGGGAUCUCGGGACUUGCCUCGGGGCUAGAGUAUGAUACCGGGACUUCGGGGUAGCUUCGGGGGUUUUUGCACAGAGCUUCGACACGAAAACGAGAGGGAAUUGGCAAAAAUACCCGGAACCCUCGCAUCCUAUUUAUAGGAGGCUGGAGCCUCGGAGUACGCGGGGCGUACUGCGUUACGCGGGGCGUACUGCCCAAAACGUCAUUGCUUACGUAUCCGAAGUGCUCGAGUGCGAGUGUCGACAUCCCUCGGAGUACGCGGGGCGUACUCGAGUACGCGGGGCGUACCUCGGAUCAGAUCGGUGACUCCUUCGGAUAAUGCUUCCGAAUUUUGAAUUAAAAAUAAAUACAAAAUGAUUAAUAAACUUCGGAAAUUCAUAACUUCUUCAUACGAACUCCGUUUUCGACGUUCUUUAUAUCCACGCGAAGGUGAGACCACGCUCUACGACUUUCGUUUAGACUCCGUCGGCUAAUUUUGACUUUAUUUUUAUUAAUUAUUUUUAAUAGGCCGGGACAGAAACUUUCGUUAUAAAUUCAUAACUUCUUCGUUUGACGUCCGUUCUCGCCUAACUUUUUAUCGCUUCGAUACCAACAAUGAGAUCUUCGAUUCUCAUUUAGAUUGCUUCGGCUAACAACCGCUCGAUCUCAAAUCGAGUAAAACAGGCUGUAUACCGCUAAGCCGGAACUUCGAUAAAUCAUAACUUCCUCAUACGAAGUCAGAUUUGGGCGUUCUAUAUAUAUUCGGAAACCUCGUUUCAACUACUACAACAUUAACCAAAGAUAUUAAGUUUAUUUUACACUUAAAUUUUGACGCUUAUUUUUAUUCUUAAUUAAUCAAACCACAUAAUUAAGCAAUUAAGCACAAAACACACAAUACUCAAAUAAUACAAUCUUAUUAUUUCAAAAUGGGUUACAAAGGUUAACCUAGACUAUUACAUUGCUAAAAAUGGCAAGCCCGGAAACACAGGCGUUACAAUUCUCUCCACCUUAGAAUGAUUCCGUCCCCGGAAUCACACAUCAACAAACAAAUGCGGAUAGCGACUCAACAUGUCACUCUCCGUCUCCCAGGUGAGAUUCGGCCCAUUCGUGUGUUUCCAUCGGACAAGCACUAACCCAACCAUUUUGCGUCGCAACUUCUUAGUCUUUCGGUCAACAAUUGCCUCUGGUUCUUCAAUCAACCUUUUGUUCUCAUCAAUUCUCAAUUCAGAAAUUGGAAUUAUAUCGGGAACUUCUCCCGUGAACUUCCUCAAAUAACACACAUGAAAAGUGUUGUGAAUUCCAUUCAGUUCUUCGGGUAAUUCGAGCUUGUAAGCUUGGUUCCCAAUCCUCUGAAGGACUUUAAACGGUCCAAUAAACCUUGGACUUAACUUUCCCCUUUUACCAAAUCUUAUAAGUCCCUUCCACGGCGAGACUUUAAGCAAAACCGAAUCUCCAACUUCAAAAGUCAUCGGUCUUCGCUUCUUGUCAGCAUAGCUCUUUUGACGAUCCUGAGCUGCUAACAUUCUCUCCAUAAUUAUUUUCAACUUUUCAGCAGUUUGAUGGACUAUCUCCGGUCCCAUAAACUGCUUUCCCCAGCCUCAAGUCAAUAAGACGGCGUGCGACACUUCUGCCGCAUACAAAGCUUGAUAAGGUGCCAUCUUAAUGCUCGAGUGAAAACUAUUAUUAUAGGAAAAUUCUACCAACGGUAAAUGUUCAUCCCAAUUACCUAGGAAUUCCAAGGUACAUGCUCUCAGCAUAUCUUCAAGUGUUUGUAUUGUUCUUUCACUCUGACCAUCAGUCUGCGGAUGGUAAGCUGUGCUUAAACAUAACUUGGUACCCAUUUCCUCUUGUAGACUUUUCCAAAACCUUGAGGUGAAACGGCUAUCACGAUCCGAUACAAUCGUUAACGGAACACCGUGAAGCCUCACAAUUUCCUUCACGUAAGAAUUCGCAAGCUUUUCCAUAGACCAUUUCUCCCUGGCCGCUAUGAAAUGCGCACUCUUAGUGAAUCGAUCAACGACCACCCAAAUCAUGUCGUGACCAUUCUUUGUCCUGGGCAAUUUAGUGACAAAAUCCAUAGCAAUGUCUUCCCACUUACCCAUAGGCACAGGCAAUGGUUCUAAACUCCCGUACGGUUUCUGAUGUUGUGUCUUUACUCUCGCACAAGUCACACACUCAGCCACAUACUUUGCAACAUCAAGCUUCAUCGUCGGCCACCAGUAGUAGGGUUUCAGGUCCCUAUACAUUUUAGUGCUACCGGGAUGAAUCGAGUACAUGGUUUUGUGAGCUUCUUCCAUCAGAAGAUCUCUGACUCCUCCUGUCUUAGGUAUCCAAAUCUGAUCUUGGAACACCUUCAGUCCAUGACUGUUUACACCGAACACCAACGUUUUGCCCAAACGUUCUUCCUUUCGGUCAUUUUUCUCAGAAGCUUCGCUUUGAGCUUUCUUUAUACUUUCCACAAUAGUCGAGACAACUUCAAUUCUCAACGCUCUUGGCCUUCUCCUUUCAAGAUUGACUUUCCGACUGAGAGCAUCAGCAACAACAUUGGCUUUACCGGGGUGGUAAAGUAUCUCACAGUCGUAGUCUUUAAGUAAUUCCAGCCAGCGUCGUUGCCUCAUAUUCAAUUCCUUCUGACCAAAGAGAUAUUGGAGACUCUUAUGAUCAGUGAAAAGUUUGCACUUUGUGCCAUAGAGGUAAUGCCUCCAUAUCUUCAAAGCGAAAACUACCGCUGCCAACUCCAAAUCAUGAGUCGGGUAGUUCUUUUCAUGCUCUUUCAGCUGUCGAGAUGCAUAUGCUAUCACCUUUUUUAUUUGGGUCAGAAUACAACCCAAUCCAACCCCAGACGCAUCGCUAUAAACAGCGAAGUCUUCAACUCCAUCGGGCAGAGAAAUUAUCGGUGCCUCGCAUAGUUUAUUCUUUAGCUUCUCGAAUGCUUCUUUAUGCUUAUCAUUCCAAGCAUAAGUAGCUCCUUUGUGGGUCAAAGCUAUUAAUGGACUAGCGAUCGAAGAAAAGCCUUGGAUAAACCUUCGGUAAUAUUCGGCUAAUCCUAAAAAGCUUCAGAUCUCCGUGGGACUUUUCAGUUGUUCCCACUUCAUUACAACUUCGAUCUUCGCUGGAUCAACCAUUAUCCCUUCUUGGUUGACCACGUGACCCAAGAAUUGGACUUCACGAAUCCAAAAAUCACAUUUGGAGAACUUCGCAUAUAGCUUCUCCUUCUUCAAGACUUCCAACACUUCUCGCAAGUGUCUGCCAUGCUCCUCUUGGCUUUUUGAAUAAAUCAGAAUGUCAUCUAUGAACACUAUCACAGAUUUAUCAAGGAACGGGUUACAAACUCUGUUCAUUAAAUCCAUGAAUGUUAUCGGAGCAUUGGUUAGUCCAAACGACAUAACCAAAAAUUCAAAGUGUUCAUAUCGUGUUCUGAAUGCAGUCUUCUCUAUGUCCUGUUCUCUUACUUUCAGCUGAUGAUAUCCUGACCUCAUGUCGAUCUUUGAAAAAUAACUUGAACCUUGCAGCUUAUCGAAUAGGUCAUCAAUCCUCGGCAACAGAUAUCUAUUCUUUAUUGUUGCCUUAUUCAUUUCUCGGUAAUCAAUGCACAUCCUCAUACUUCCAUCUUUUUUCUUUACGAAUAACACCGGAGCUCCCCAGUUUGAUGAACUAGGUCUAAUGAAACCCUUGGCCAAUAACUCUUGAAGUUGCAUCAUCAGUUCCAUCUCCGUCGNUCGAUAAGGUGCUUUUGCAAUUGGCGUUGUUCCGGGCAACAAGUCGAUAUGAAAUUCUACUUGUCGAUCGGGCGGUAAUCCAGGAAGAUCUUCGGGAAAUACUUCCGGAUAAUCACACACAACAGGAAUAUUUUGCAUCACCUUCUUUUCCUUCUUAGCAUCGAUCACGAAUGCUAAGUAUGAUGUACACCCCUUGGUCAAAAAUUUUCUGGCUUUCAUUAGGGAAAUGAUUCCAAAAUUUACUCUGCGUUUAUCUCCGUACACCAUAAACGAUUCCUUCCCAGGCAGGUUCACUUUCACUAUUUUCUUCUUGCAUAAAAUUUCAGCAUCAUUGGCGCUAAGCCAAUCCAUUCCCAAAACGAUGUCGAAACCGUUAAGUUCUAUAGGCAAUAAUUCCUCGUGGAACUUAUUCCCAUUCAGAUCAAUUACGAUGUUUUUCAUACGAUAGCUAAUAGGUACAAACUUGCCACUAGCAACUUCAACUAAUAAGGCAUUAUCUAGUCUAUCAACAGGCAAAGCUAGUUUUCUACCAAAUUCAUGCGAUAUAAAGGAGUAGUUGGCUCCAGAAUCAAAUAAAAUUUGGGCAGGCAAUUUGUUAAUGAGAAAGGUACCUGAAGCGACAUCAACAUCAUCUUUAGCAGCUUCCAAUGUCAUUUGGAAUGC
rnacentral:lncRNA from 1 species